UAAAUGGCAUGGCUGAGAAAGUCCCUUCAAUGAAAGGAGGAGUAUAGUCUUGGCCAUGGCUGGGAAGGAAGGAGAACAUGUAAAUUGAGGAUUUUUCAGAGAGAUCGGGACUGCUUGAUUUAUCAGUGGACUAGUGUGCUGGUUGAUUAGGAUCUUUCAGAGAGAUCAGGGUUGCUUGAUUAAUCAGAGAGAAACUGGAACAGUACUUGGGAGUUGGGACUGGUGUGCUACGGUUGCUUGAUUAAUAAGAGAGAAACUUAUCAUAAUUUAUGAUUUCCUUUUCUUGAUUUGGAGCAAGUGUCUUUGCUGGAGUCAGCGUCCUUGUGGUUGAUCUCAUAUACAUGAGGAUUAUCUGAGUCAGCUGCUUGUGGUUGACCUCAUAUACAUGAGGAUUAUCCGAUCAUUAAAGCACAUACAUUGGAGUUGAAAUAUAGGCGGGUCGUGUACACGGGGUACAUGUACGUGAUGUAAACAAAACCUAUAUAACUCAGGGAAUCGGUACUACAAGAGAGCUUCAAGCUGACGGCCAAUAGGAAUGGAAGACAUGACUUGAUGGAGAAAUCAGGGAACAUACAUUCUGCUCUCUUGUUCUUCGGCUUGGGGUGUCGGCAGCUACCUAUUACUACUAGGGAGUCUUAUUUUGGACGGAAAGAAAAUACAAUAUUGGUUUUUAUCCAUUUGUAUGCCUGCGUUAGCCUUAUGAAGCACAAAGGAUGUCCCAGUGAUCAAUCACGGAUGAUACUUGGUGUAUUCUUACUAGGC